UGUGCAACAGAUCUGAAAAUGUAUACAGGAUUACAAGAUGUUUAUUGGAUAAACAAUCGAGUGUUCACAUAUUAGUAAGGCACAAUAUAUGUAUAAUGAAACCUUUAUCAUCUUUAAGACUAACUGUAUUUUUAAGGUUACUAUUCAUACUCUAUACUAACUGUUUCACUAAAUAUAUGUUUGCAACAAAAAUCCUCUAACUCUUUCAUACAUUUUCGGAUCGAUUUCAAAUAUUACUACAAUAAUCCUGAUUGUCGUAUCUCGUUACAGUGUCAACGAAAUUUCAAAUAAUUUCGUAUAAUGCACAUAAUAUAUUCAUAAAAUCAUAAAGUAAAUUCUUUGGUAAGUAUUCGAAUACUUUCGUAAGACACUAUACAAGGUGAUUUUCAAUGGUUCAUAGAAUCUCCAUCUCGAGUAAAUUGGCGGACAUCGCAAUGUUCAGCCUGCACUGUCUAUCCUAAACUUUUCUUCCCCAUACUCUAGCAUACGGGGCGGGGCCGUUGCAGUGCAUCGAAAGAGAAAUUUUUCCGGCGGUUGUUGGCCCAGCCCCACGACGAACGGAUACUAGGGUGUUUCCCACAUGAAUGGCAGAGCAGUGGAGGCACAUUGCAAGCAAGCUGCAGCGCUGCAGUAGGCCUGUGGGCCAAGGUUCUCUCUCUCUCCCUUUUCUUCCUCUCUUCCGUACUCCUUUCUACUUGCUUUUUGUCUUGGAUAUUCUCUUUAUCUCGACUACUUUUACAGAUGAAAAACUGCUUGCAACGAGGAACGAAUCAACAAUCACGACUAGGUAUUUCAUUGUUAUUUUUGGGAUAUUUUAUUGAACUUUCCCAUAACGUUAUUUUGUUAUUUUUCUUCGACGUUCAAGUUGCAGUUGCAUUAAAAUAUCAAUAUAUUUUUUAUUGUAGGAAGUUACGGAAACUUUAAAAUGAGAAGUCACCCAAUCAGCUGAAAUGGCAGUUAGCCAGACCGCCUCAUAUUCCAGUUUUGUUUAAUUGUUUAGCACGAUACGUUUUAUUUCCCGGAUGCAGAUGCACUCGAGGUCCCCUCCAUUGAGCCACUCUUCUAAGAUCUCCCGAAGUUAACAGGCGUGACCCUUUCCCUUCUGAAGUUUUUCAUGCGGACCCACCUGGUCUUUCAUUGGCCAGGGGCUAAAUGAGAAUUUUUCCGAUAUGGCCUGUUAGGCCGGCCCUCUAUUUAUACGUUUCCCCAUCGAUGGUAGCCACAUUGUACUGCCGCUUUUAUCGUUGCAACUUUUCUGUGUUAAACAAAUUUGUUCCAUUAUUAUUAAUUCCGCAACCUUUCAUUCUCUUUAUAUUUCGAGUAUAUUGUAUUUUAAAAUUUGUAGAUAUGUAAAGGGUUACUCGAUGGAAAAUGCACUGUUACGAGAAAGAAAUACGCCAUUUUCUGUCUCUGGUCUGUCUAGCCGAAGAGCAUCGAGUUAUUCUACAUCGGUGGAGGCUCACAAAGCUAUGUAUAUACCUACUAUCGAUGCUGUGCGCAGUGCACAUACCUGCACCGUGGUUACGCAGGUGUGCGUGACCUUUUCUCUUACCGGGAAUCGCUCAACUUUGCAGAAAAAUCGCAUUUUUCUGCGUAAGCUCGUUUCCCGUGUUCGAUGGCAGGUGCAUUCCUAUACGAUGCGUUUCCAUCCUGAUGCGUCGCUUCCUGUACUAGCUAUAUCUUCUUUUCAUGUGCAAGCUUAUUUUAGUUUUGGAGGUUCUUUGCGGUCAAUUUGUAUAUUAGAUGGAGGUUAGGUAAUACUGAAUUCUUAACAAUUCUUAACAAUUCUUAACAAUACCGAUAACUUAUAAUUAUUCUUAUUUCAUUUAUAGAAGUCUAUAGUUAACUUAUAACUAUAUCUAUUUUUGCUAAACAACGACUACUAAACAAAGAUCUAAAUAAAUCCAAGAGGAAUGAUCAUGCAAGAGAAGGAAAGCACAACUGCCGUAUCGCUCUUCAAACAAAAUUUUCUCAUAAAAAACAAGGGGGAGUAGCGGCUGGUAGCCUAGUCGGUACAUUCUGUAUCGCUUUUUUCCGCGUCGUGACAGCAUAGCGUGCACACAGAGACGGUGGCGGUUGUCUGUAGCUAGGUUGAGGUUGCCGGAGGCCGCUUCUCGUCGUCUCUCGCUCGUCUAGUCGUGGCAAGGUGCAUGCUCGGCAUCGUGCACGCACGAACACGCAGAAAGCAAUCGUUGGAGCAGCGUGUCUGGUAGGUACUGUAGGGGAAACACUGGAGACCAGAUGCAUUCGACCGGUAUUACUGUAUAUAACACUGAAAUCACUUUUGAAUAAUGCGGAUUUUCUCAGAAGUUGACGGUAUAGACGAGCCAUACUCGAUUCCAUGAGUCACCAUAAAGUUCUAAACUAAGAGAAACUUGAAAAUAUUACGAAGAAUGUCCGCGAUGAAAAAUAAUUGAAACCUAGAUGAUGGAAUUUGGAGGAAAUAUACUGUGACAGAUGUUGAUGUAUCGGAAAAAGAGUUCUAGAAGGCUGAAGCAGCAAAAAGAAUGGCCGAAAUGCAGUAGUAGAAAGGAAUGUCCGUGCGAAGCGGAGACUCAACAUGCGAUGAAACCGGCCCUGGGAGCGCACAAAGCCGCGGGGGCGUUCAUUUUACGCAUCGACAGUAACGAUGACGUUUUGUAAACGCAAAAGUACAAAUGCGCCUUAUUCCACUUUGGUCUAAUCUAACAUAUCCUUGUUCUCCUUUUAUUUUUAGACUAGCUUGGAACUCGCAUUAACAAAAUAAUAUCAGCCUAAUCUAUAUGAAUAAGUUCGAAAAUCGUGCAAUUUGAGGAGAAUCAUCAGGCGAAUAUUUAAGAGAGAUAUUGGAAACUGGUCGAAGAAGGGAGACAGAGCGGUUCCUUUACGUCCGCGGGGCUUCGGUGUCAACAGGUUUUAUUUUUGCCCCGCGAAAAGGCCAAGGUCCUCUCCUGCCCCUACCGUGCAUACCCGCCAACAGUCCCCUGCCCGCACGCCGCCCCUUUUCCCUUCUUUCCAUCCCGAUCCCCUCCAUCGGCAUCGUCGACGUGUCCUCGAUAGGUGGGGAGGCUCCUGGGGGAUGCUAUGAAGAACCUUCUGGAUUAAUACCCGCACCUCAGGAGAAUUUGCUCCACAACUCUGUUCUAAAGGUUCUAUGAAGCCAGUACGUUGAUAACACAACAAUUUCCUGUAAAGGAGAUAUCUACUUAUGGAAUAUUUCUUUGUUAAUUAUUUUAAGGCAACUAAGGAUUUAGAAGAGCGAUAAUCCGUGUUUGUAGUUUUUGUCGUACAUAUAAAUUCCAGGAGGAAAUGCACAGGCAAUCGGCCCCAAUUGGGGUGAUACAAGCAGAGUGCGACCGAGGGAGAGAGAGGGGGGGGGAGAGAGAAAUCGAGAAAAAUAGCGGCUAGGGAAUGGAGUAGAUGACGGAGAGAAAAAGAACGACAGAAAACACACGAAAUAUAGGGGUAUAUGACAAAGAGGAAGCAAAAGGCGGGGAGGUGGGCAGAGAAGCAGAAAGAAAGAAAAAGAUGAAAAAUGAAACGGAAAGAGAACAAGCAGUCUAGCCCUGUAUAUGUGGAUGGAUGUGUUUGAGAGGGAGAGUCGAAGGGGACGAAGGAGCAUGAGAUGUAGCAGUGAUAGAGAUCCAAAAUCGAAGUUUUCCAAGAGACAUAACCUAGAUCAUCGAAAAACUCCAAAUCCUAUUAAAUUUUGAGAUCUAGCUACGAGUCAGAAUCAUUUUUUCCAUGAAAAAUUGUUCAGAAACUCGAUGCAGAGAGAAAAACGAGUGUCCAUCACUAGACUGGAGGUUCAGUUGAAGCAAGAAGAACAAGAAGAACCAGGGAGUGCAUUGAACAAGGACAGGUAGACAAUCAAAAGGAGAGGGGAUCCAGUCGUCGUGGUGAGCAGUGGAAGGGUUUUAGGGGGAAGGGAGUAGAGUGCAGCGGCCUGGUUGCCUAUACUCCGCGUGACUAUAGGCAGUCCGGCUAGGCUAGAGUCCGCGUAUAAUGUAUUCUCGAAUAUCGUGCACUCUCUCGUGAUCAAUAUAAGCUCCGACGCGGGCCGGAGAUGCACGAAGAUCCACCUCCUCCUUCCUCGACCCGCCCGGACGAUGUUUUUUCGUGCGGAGUGCAACGCACGCUGGAUCGCGAGAACUGCACUCGCUCUCCCCCUCUCCACGACUCUUUAUUUCUCUCUCUCUUUCUCUUCUAUAAGGGCUGUCUGUUCUUGUCCAAUACUUGCCGACUCGUUCUGCUCUUUCAUCCUCGAUUAUAUAUCCGUGACAGUGUCGAAGCGGCUUGAAGAGGGGAGAGAAAGAACGAAUAUUAUAAUCUUGGGAAUUAUUUAAGUUCUCUCGUUAGAGGGAACUCAUGCUUCUACAGUUAAUGAAUGAUCAGAUACGACGUUAUGUGGUAGGUGUUGCAUAGGUAGCAUUGCGAUUAAAAUGGUACAAAUGUGGCAGCCAUAUUGCCUGGUAGAAGAUUAAAAAUUUGUAAGUUUUGGUAGAAUUUGUUGAUCAAUUUUCAAUCGCUUUUUGAGAGCAAUAUGUUUUAACUUGAAUCUAAUUACCGAGGUGUUUGAAAUAGGCGUGAAAUACAGAAUGGCUGGAAUACUGGUGGAAGGUGGCAGCGAAGCGUGAUGGACGAAAUCUUCUCGGCUCGAUUGAGCGAUAUUCACUCAUAUGAAUUAAAGUUUAAGCCUGCACACCUUCACCGACACUUGGCUCCUCUGCUUAUUGACUCCUGCUGCCUCUCCGCGGCCCCUUGAUCAAUCUUUCGAGAGUAAUGAAGCCUGUGGCGACAAAUAUUUAACAUACUGGGGGCCGAGCCUCUUAGAACCGCUUUGUGAUGCUUCGUCUAUGAUCUUUGCGUCAAUUAAUUUUUUGUUCCGAUCUAAUCUUCGAUCGAAGAAGCUCAAUGAACAGAAGUCAGGGUAUCGUAUGUAUAUUGUAAAUUUUAUGGGAACAAGAUAUUCGAUGGAGGCCAAUACUCUUACGUGCAAUUAUUCAUACUGUUGUUGCUACUACAAACAAGUCUAGUAAUCCGAUGGAUGUUUCUUUUCAAUCUCAGCCGGUUUCUUUCCCUUUUCAAGAAAUACGAGGGUAAAAAAGAGAGACAAAAGGGUAUGCACGGAAGGAAGGAAGAAGAUAAAGAUUGAGAGGCAGACUGGCCGGAGGAAGAAAAUUGGUAGAGGCAGGCUCGUGUACGUUCCAGAAAACUGGCCGCCAUGUCGGCCUCCACCACCCCCACUACAUACCUAUAUGCAGCCAGCAGCACGAGAUAUCGUCCAUUGCACUUUUCAAGCUUUCAUGUGAACGCACUAUACAUAUAUACGCAUGUGCUUCUGCCUAUGUGGACAGGCGGCAAGCUCACACGUAUCCAGCGGUAGCUCCCCGUAAGAGGAGAGACUGGUCCGCUCGGUGCGCAGGAAAAUAAAAUCGUCCAGUGACAUUUUACUGUUACAUCAGUCCAACAUGAAAUACAUAUUACGAAUGUUACAAGAUCUGCGUAUCUGUUAGUAUAGCGGGGAAAUAAUCCCCAAGGGAAUUGAAAUGAUUGAAAUAGAGGUAACGGUACUUGCAAAUGGACUGACAUAGUAGCGUAUCCUAGUUCAUCAAUAUUUAAUAUUUUUACUAUUGGUAAAGCUCAAAGAUGAUAACUUAUAGUCUUGUACAAUCACUCAAUACUGGACUUUUCAAAAGCGAUUCUCCUAUUCUCCUUGAAAGAGUAACACAUACGUCGCUCGUCACAGAGAGAUGUAAAGGGUAAAAUCAUCAGUAAAAAUUAAAUAGAAUCAGAAGGAUGUCGCAGGUGGUAUUUUCGCUGCACGCUGGCUGAUUUUCUAAGUCGACCUUAGGCGGGAUAAAAGGAGGAGGGGGCUGUCUCCCACUCAAUUGCAACGAGCUGGCAACGCUAUUGGCAAGUGGCAACGCUGGCUGACUGUACGAGGGAGGGGUAAGAGUGAAACUAUAGUAAUGUGGAGUGGGGUCGAUGGUCCCCCACUGGUUACGCCACUGGUACUGAAUUUCGCACGGUCUAAACGGAGAGUUGACUGAGAGGAACAGAGACGGAACACGACAGACCACCGACUGCAAGAGGGUGAGAGGGCAAAGACCAGACGGAGAAAGAAAAAGGGAGAGAAAUAGAGAGAAGAGGCAGCCAUGUGCGUCUCCGAGCAGCCUCGAAGCUCUCUGCAACUAUACGAACGUUCGGCUUCGUUCCUGUUCUCCUUCGCGCCGAAUUCGUGCUAGCGUAGAUAUGAAAUCCGGGAAGGUUCAUCACUGGAGUAUGUUGCAUCACGCAAGGACCAACGAAAUUCCCAGUGCAUCAAAUAAGCGGCAUCCUUUCCUCUCCGCUCCUCGAGCUCCCAAUGAAAAAGAUGAUGCGAGGACCGACGCGUGUGGAACACGAAGUGCAGCCGGGACCGUGGUUGAUCGUUGUCGGGGAGCAAAGGUGCAAGCUUGAUAGUCCGCCGUUCCGUUCGUUCCGCCGUUCCUCCCGUCCGGGUUCCACCGUCCAUGUCUCGGUUCGUUCGCUGGUUCAGCUGGCGUCCCACGGCACGCAGUCUGUCGCUGUCACCGACGAAGCUCGCUUCUUGUAUAGCCGUAUGCCCGAACAACCAGUACGUGUUCCUCCAUCCGACGUUUUCCGUCGUUUCUUUAUUUUUAAGUAUGUCUACGUAGAAUUUCUUUGUGCUAUCUCGAGUCGUUUUUCUACUAAUCUCCUGAAAAAAGCACGGUGUUUUAACGAGUGAAUUUCAGUCCCCUCCCGCGGUUAUUUAACAUGGUUACGUAUUUUCAGAGACACUUCCGGUAGAGGAAACUCGAUUAUCGGAUACCAACUGUCAAAGUUCUUCGAGAGUUUCAAUCAUUUUCUAGGGGAAUUCUAGUUUUUUGAGAUUAUUCUGAAAGUAUGGUGAAUUUAAGCUCGAGAAUAUUCUUGAAUACGAUUUUCCUUGAAACCGGUCGCGCGAAUCGCGAUUGUGACCGUGACUGGAAGGUGACAUGGUAUCUUCCCAUGAGUGACGCGGGUGUCCAGCAAAGUGGCAAGUGUUUUCUUCUCUCUCCUUGGAUCUGGAGACGCCGGUUUUUCCCCGGUUAAUUGUGCUGUGUGACGGGUGUGUGCGUGCAGUGUGUCCACACAGUGUAUGGUCGACGUGGUGAAGAUUCAGGCGAGUCCUUAUGUAGCUCUGGAAUAUCGGGUGUAAUCGAUGAGGAUAAUUGUAGAAGAUGUGCUGCAAGCAGAAUCUAUUAUUUUAUGGGAGGAGACCAAGGAUGAGCCGAUUGCCGAGGAAUCAAGAGAGGAGUGCAGCUUUUCGUGUAGCGUACAUAAUUCCCGCUCGACUACUCCUGCACCCAGGUCCUUCGCCGUCUUCCAGACCUUAAGAUCCGUUCACAACGAACAAUCUCAACUUCCCUGUGUUUCUUUCCCCCAAGGAAACUUGGAACUUCGAGAUUUGCAAUUCAAAUCCACGGUGAAUUUGUCUUUAAAUGAAAUCCAAGGUCCAGGUUGUAAAACGUAAUCAGUCAGUUGGAAACGGUGCCUAACAUCCCUUAGGGCCGCGUGAGGAGAUGGCAGAGGCCAUUCAACUGUCUACGAGGCAGCAGGCAGGGGAUUUUUACAACGCCCGGACUCUCUACCUACUCUCCUAUAUUCUUCUUGCUCUUCUUUCCUCUCUCCAUCUUCUUCGUCCUCUUCUUCGUCUUGUUUCUUGUAGGAUAGCCCCGGCCCUCUUUUUCUAUGCUCUCCUGAUCUCUCUACCCUGCAAUGGCGCAGUUAACCGGGGGCCUACGCGUGAGAAAUUUGAUUCUAAAACUCGAAUUAUAUCAAAUUUCAUAUAAAAAAUAAUGCCUCUAAAUAACAACUGUAGAAUAUGCUUGUCGACCGAUAGAUUUAUUAAUGUUCAACGAGCUUGACAAUUGAUAUUCCUUUACACUUGACGAAAAUCAUGAUUAAGUCCUUAAGGAAGCAGUGAUUUCAGUUGUUAAUUCGUCAACGAAUCUCUUAAUUUCGUUAACGCGUUGUUCUUAUUAUUCUACUUGGCAAACUAUGCUUAUAGAAGAAAAAUCGAAGAAACAAGAAUAUAGUAUUUUUAUUUGUUAUGAUCAAAUGCUGUUUUGUUAAUUUCCAGAUGCAGCUGCAGUAUUUCUCCACGGACAAUAGGAAGCAGUGAAAGGAAGCUGGGAGCACAUGGCGGAACGAUCCAGUGAUAGCCGUUAUCAGCCAUACUUGAUGAUACUAACCCGUAGAUCCGAACUUGUGGGCUUUUUUAUAUGUAUACCGCAAGCUCCUAUCUACCGGUACAUGUAGUCAGGCCAGCAUUUAAGCUUUUCGACGGAACCUCCUCCUUCUCCUUCACACACCCCUCUGCCCUCCUGAAAGCCCGCAGCACUUCCGGUUAUCAACGCGUGUAUUUUUUGCCAAGUAAUUUUCUCGAUUGUAUGAAAAGAAGUGAGAAAGGACGAGUAUGACGAAUGAAAAACAGUAUCUACCGUUCUGUCACUUCCGGUUUACUGACCAAUUAAUUACGAGUAGUAAUAUAACGAUCGAAGCGUCGUAUGUCUUGAAACACAAAAUAUAAAUGUAAUUACUUAGAUCGAAGCUAAUUUUGUUAAACCUACGUUCUGACAUUAGAUAGAAUAUGCAAUUUGUUGAGGCAUUUGUUAAUUAUUAGUAUGUUACAUAAUUAUUUCUUAAUAAGUAUCGACAUUAUUGUGCUUUAUUAUAUUAUAAACUACUAUAUUACUAUACGAUAUAUUAUACAUGAAUAUCCACGAAGGGAUCGAUUAUGAAGAGGACAGCCACAUCAGCGACGACGCCUGGGUGAGGUAGUAGGUUGUAUAGUAGGGAAUGGAAAUUCGCUAUAUACGAAGUCCACUGUACAACUUG